rnacentral:rRNA from 1 species
UACGUAGGGUGCGAGCGUUAAUCGGAAUUACUGGGCGUAAAGCGUUCGCAGGCGGUUUGUCAAGUUCGAUGUGAAAGCCCCGGGCUCAACCUGGGAACUGCAUUGGAAACUGGCGAGCUUGAGUGUGGCAGAGGGGGGUGGAAUUCCGCGUGUAGCAGUGAAAUGCGUAGAGAUGCGGAGGAACACCGAUGGCGAAGGCAGCCCCCUGGGCCGACACUGACGCUCAGGCACGAAAGCGUGGGGAGCAAACAGG